GCCUAACACAUGCAAGUCGAGCGGAUGACGGGAGCUUGCUCCUUGAUUCAGCGGCGGACGGGUGAGUAAUGCCUAGGAAUCUGCCUGGUAGUGGGGGACAACGUUUCGAAAGGAACGCUAAUACCGCAUACGUCCUACGGGAGAAAGCAGGGGACCUUCGGGCCUUGCGCUAUCAGAUGAGCCUAGGUCGGAUUAGCUAGUUGGUGGGGUAAUGGCUCACCAAGGCGACGAUCCGUAACUGGUCUGAGAGGAUGAUCAGUCACACUGGAACUGAGACACGGUCCAGACUCCUACGGGAGGCAGCAGUGGGGAAUAUUGGACAAUGGGCGAAAGCCUGAUCCAGCCAUGCCGCGUGUGUGAAGAAGGUCUUCGGAUUGUAAAGCACUUUAAGUUGGGAGGAAGGGCAGUAAGUUAAUACCUUGCUGUUUUGACGUUACCGACAGAAUAAGCACCGGCUAACUCUGUGCCAGCAGCCGAUA
rnacentral:rRNA from 1 species